rnacentral:rRNA from 1 species
UGUUGUCCGACUCUGUUGCCUCCGGGGCGACCCUGCCUUCGGGCGGGGGCUCCGGGUGGACACUUCAAACUCUUGCGUAACUUUGCAGUCUGAGUAAACUUAAUUAAUAAAUUAAAACUUUUAACAACGGAUCUCUUGGUUCUGGCAUCGAUGAAGAACGCAGCGAAAUGCGAUAAGUAAUGUGAAUUGCAGAAUUCAGUGAAUCAUCGAAUCUUUGAACGCACAUUGCGCCCCCUGGUAUUCCGGGGGGCAUGCCUGUUCGAGCGUCAUUUCACCACUCAAGCCUCGCUUGGUAUUGGGCAACGCGGUCCGCCGCGUGCCUCAAAUCGACCGGCUGGGUCUUCUGUCCCCUAAGCGUUGUGGAAACUAUUCGCUAAAGGGUGUUCGGGAGGCUACGCCGUAAAACAACCCCAUUUCUAAGGUUGACCUCGGAUCAGGUAGGGAUACCCGCUGAACUUAAGCAUAUCAUAAGCGGAGGA